UCCUAGCCCGGGUAGCAGUGAAAAUCCUUUUUUUAUAGACGCUAUUUUUUUCUUGAAUGAAUAGAGCGACCAACGGAAGCUCCUAUACAUUCUUAGAAAAAAAGCGUAUUGCAAAAAAGGUUGUAACGAAUAACCGGAAUAGCU
rnacentral:sRNA from 1 species